rnacentral:rRNA from 1 species
GACGAACGCUGGCGGCGUGCUUAACACAUGCAAGUCGAACGGAAAGGCCCUGCUUGCAGGGUACUCGAGUGGCGAACGGGUGAGUAACACGUGGGUGAUCUGCCCUGCACUUCGGGAUAAGCCUGGGAAACUGGGUCUAAUACCGGAUAGGAGCCAUUUUUAGUGUGAUGGUUGGAAAGUUUUUCGGUGUAGGAUGAGCUCGCGGCCUAUCAGCUUGUUGGUGGGGUAAUGGCCUACCAAGGCGGCGACGGGUAGCCGGCCUGAGAGGGUGGACGGCCACAUUGGGACUGAGAUACGGCCCAGACUCCUACGGGAGGCAGCAGUGGGGAAUAUUGCACAAUGGGCGCAAGCCUGAUGCAGCGACGCCGCGUGGGGGAUGACGGCCUUCGGGUUGUAAACUCCUUUCGCUAGGGACGUAGCUUUUUGUGACGGUACCUAGAGAAGAAGCACCGGCUAACUACGUG